GGCGACGUAGCCAAGUGGUAAGGCAGGGGUCUGCAAAACCCUUAUGCGUCGGUUCGAAUCCGACCGUCGCCU
rnacentral:tRNA from 1 species